rnacentral:rRNA from 1 species
GACGAACGCUGGCGGCGUGCUUAACACAUGCAAGUCGAACGAGUGGCGAACGGGUGAGUAAUGUAUGCUAAUCUGCCCUACACUAGAGGACAACAGUUGGAAACGGCUGCUAAUACUUUAUAGUGUAGGAUGAGGCUAUAUUGUAUCAGCUAGUUGGUGAGGUAAUGGCUCACCAAGGCUAUGACGCAUAACUGGUCUGAGAGGAUGAUCAGUCACACUGGAACUGAGACACGGUCCAGACUCCUACGGGAGGCAGAAGUAGGGAAUAUUGCUCAAUGGGGGAAACCCUGAAGCAGCAACGCCGCGUGUAUGAAGAAGGCCUUCGGGUUGUAAAGGACUGUCAGCGUGGAGGCGUUACCCGCAGAAGAAGCAACGGCUAACUCCGUGCCAGCAGCCGCGGUAAUAC